rnacentral:rRNA from 1 species
CAGCAGCAGCCGCGGUAAUACAGAGGGUGCGAGCGUUAAUCGGAUUUACUGGGCGUAAAGCGUGCGUAGGCGGCUUCUUAAGUCGGAUGUGAAAUCCCUGAGCUUAACUUAGGAAUUGCAUUCGAUACUGGGAAGCUAGAGUAUGGGAGAGGAUGGUAGAAUUCCAGGUGUAGCGGUGAAAUGCGUAGAGAUCUGGAGGAAUACCGAUGGCGAAGGCAGCCAUCUGGCCUAAUACUGACGCUGAGGUACGAAAGCAUGGGGAGCAAACAGGAUUAGAUACCCGUGUAGUCCCUGUCUCUUAUAA